UACGGAGGAUCCAAGCGUUAUCCGGAUUCAUUGGGUUUAAAGGGUGCGUAGGCGGCCUAUUAAGCCAGUGGUGAAAGUUUGCAGCUUAACUGUAAAAUUGCCAUUGAUACUGGUAGGCUUGAGUACAGCUGAGGUAGGCGGAAUGUGUAAUGUAGCGGUGAAAUGCUUAGAUAUUACACAGAACACCGAUUGCGUAGGCAGCUUACUAAACUGUAACUGACGCUGAGGCACGAAAGCGUGGGGAGCGAACAGG
rnacentral:rRNA from 1 species